UGAAUACGAGACGCUAAGGCGUUGAAGUAGUGUAUGUCAUACUUCCAAGAAAAGCUUGCACUGUCAUAGAUAAAAAACGCCUGUACCAUAACCGACACAGGUGGGUAGGUAGAGUAUACUAAGGGGCGCGAGAUAACUCUCUCUAAGGAACUCGGCAAAAUAACUCCGUAACUUCGGGAGAAGGAGUGCCUUAUUUAUAAGGCUGCAAUAACAAGAUCCAAGCAACUGUUUAUCAAAAACACAGGUCUCCGCUAAGUCGUAAGACGAUGUAUGGGGGCUGACGCCUGCCCAGUGCCAGAAGGUUAAAGAAGUUGGUUAGCAAUAGCGAAGCUGAUAACUGAAGCCCUGGUGAACGGCGGCCGUAACAAUAACGGUCCUAAGGUAGCGAAAUUCCUUGUCGGGUAAGUUCCGACCCGCACGAAAGGCGUAAUGAUUUGGAUACUGUCUCGGAGAGGGGCUCGGUGAAAUAGACUUGUCUGUGAAGAUGCGGACUACCUGCACCAGGACAGAAAGACCCUAUGAAGCUUUACUGUAACUUGAAAUUGAAAUUGGACUUUAUUCGCGCAGUAUAGGUGGGAGGCGUUGAUUGUAAUCUUGCGGGAUUAUUGGAGCCAUCAGUGAGAUACCACCCUUGUAAUGUUAGAUUUCUAACUUUGAAUCAUUAUCUGGUCAAAGAACAGUUUCAGGCGGGCAGUUUGACUGGGGCGGUCGCCUCCUAAACGGUAACGGAGGCGUACAAAGGUUUCCUCUGAACGGUUAGAAAUCGUAUCUAGAGUGUAAAGGCAUAAGGAAGCUUGACUGUGAGACCUACAAGUCGAGCAGGGACGAAAGUCGGUCUUAGUGAUCUGACGGUACUGAGUGGAAAGGCCGUCACUCAACGGAUAAAAGUUACUCUAGGAUAACAGGCUGAUCUCCCCCAAGAGUUCACAUCGACGGGGAGGUUUGGCACCUCGAUGUCGGCUCAUCGUAUCCUGGGGCGGUAGUACGUCCCAAGGGUUGGGCUGUUCGCCCAUGAAAGCGGUACGCGAGCUGGGUUCAGAACGUCGUGAGACAGUUCGGUCCAUAUCCGGUGUAGGCGUUAGAAUAUUGAGAGGAGCCUUCUUUAGUACGAGAGGACCGAGAAGGACAUACCUCUGGUGUACCAGUUAUCGUGCCAACGGUAAACGCUGGGUAGCUAUGUAUGGAGUGGAUAACCGCUGAAAGCAUCUAAGUGGGAAGCCCACCUCAAGAUAAGUAUUCUCA
rnacentral:rRNA from 1 species